rnacentral:rRNA from 1 species
GGCGUAGUCGAUGGGAAACAGGUUAAUAUUCCUGUACUUGGUGUUACUGCGAAGGGGGGACGGAGAAGGCUAUGUCAGCCGGGCGACGGUUGUCCCGGUUUAAGCGUGUAGGUGUGUGUUCCAGGCAAAUCCGGUUCACUUUAACACUGAGGCGUGAUGACGAGGCACUACGGUGCUGAAGUGAUAAAUGCCCUGCUUCCAGGAAAAGCCUCUAAGCAUCAGGUAACACGAAAUCGUACCCCAAACCGACACAGGUGGUCAGGUAGAGAAUACCAAGGCGCUUGAGAGAACUCGGGUGAAGGAAC